CCUACGGGAGGCAGCAGUGAGGGAUGUUGGUCAAUGGGGGAAACCCUGAACCAGCAACGCCGCGUGAGGGAAGACGGUUUUCGGAUUGUAAACCUCUGUCAUCUGUGCAGAUGAUGAUGGUAGUCGAGGAGGAAGCUCGGGCUAAUUACGGGCCAGCAGCCGCGGGAAUACGUAGGGCGCAAGCGUAGUCCGGAUUUACUGGGUGUAAAGGGUGCGUGGGCGGCUUUGCAAGUCAGUAGUGAAAUCCAUGGGCUUAACCCAUGAACUGCGUUUGAAACUGCAAAGCUUGAGUGGAGGAGAGGUGGGUGGAAGUCCCGGUGUAGCGGUGAAAUGCGUAGAGAUCGGGAGGAACACCAGUGGCGAAGGCGGCCUGCUGGACGCUAACUGACGCUGAGGUGCGAAAGCGUGGGGAGCAAACAGGAGUAGAUACCCUUGUAGUC
rnacentral:rRNA from 1 species